rnacentral:rRNA from 1 species
AUGUGGCACAUUGCAAACGGCGAUGGUGGCUUGUGGCUGCAGAUCAUCCGCCGCAAAUACCUGCGCGACCAGCCCCUCGCCUUCUGCAUUAGGACGGGCGGUUCCCAGUUUUGGCAGUCUGUCAUUCAGCUCCUCCAGGCCCUUCGCAUUGGGACCUCCAUCGCGGUUGGCACUGGAUCGGCCACGCUAUUUUGGUUCGACCGCUGUGCCGGUGAUCUCCCUUUCGCGACCCGGUUCCCUGACCUCUUUUCCAUAGCGGUCGAACCUAGGAUCUCCGUCGAGUCGGCCCUUAUUGACUUAGGGCGUCUUGCGUUCCGGAGGCCAUUUGGGCCGUCGGAGUUUGCCGCUUGGCAUGAGCUCCUUGAUUCUGUGGCUCUCCAUGAGCUGGACUUGUCGCAGCACCACGACGACCGCAUGUCCUGGCAUCUCGAGCCCUCUAGCCGCUUCUCCACGAAGUCUCUUUACCGCGCCAUCGCUCCUUAUCCCGGACCGGGCGUCCUCGACUCUAUAUGGUCUAUCGGCUUGCCCCUCAAAAUUAGAAUCUUCAUGUGGCAAUGGAUCCGUGGCCGGCUCCCCUCGGGCGUGGAGUUCCUGAAGCGCCAGGGUCCCGGUGAUGGUAUUUGCCCCCUAUGUGGGACGGUGGAAACCUCGAAUCACAUCUUCUUCUCGGGCGUGUCCGCCCAGUUUCUUUGGGGCUGCCUCCGAGAGGUCAUCGGUGGCAACUGGUGUCACACUAACUUCCCUGAUCUCCUCUCUGAGGUUCAGUCCUCCCCCUUGACAGGCCGCCACAUUAGGUGGUUGCUCAUCGGGGUGCUCGCCUGGACACUGUGGACCGUACGAAAUAAGCUUGUCAUUCAACGGGUCCCCCUUCGACGUGCUACUGACGCUGUGUUCAAAAUGUGUGGCUUCUUGCAGCUUUGGCGGCCGCUUAGCCGUCACCAAGAUCGCGACGCCAUCACCUCCAUCAUCGUCGAGCUUCGCUCGAUGGCCCUCCGCUUCGCACCGCCGCUCCCUCCGCCACCUCCCGAGCCGGAUUAG